CGAGCACGUAGGAGGCGGGGUCCCCUUCCUCCUUUCUUUCUUGCGAUCCUGAAGGAAGCUCCGCCCACUAAUCAGGCUUACUGCAGGGAGCAAGGGGUUGACCCUCAGUUGUGUGACGCGAGAAUGGAAGCCCUCUGUUCCUCCUGCAUGAGCGGGGCUUCCACCCAAGAACAGAUUCUUUUCAUUGAAGGAUUUCCACUGGACUUUCUUAGAGUCUAGCGGUCAUAGCUGACAGCCUGUAAUUUUAAGUUAACGAAGUCGCACCGCACAGCAAAGUUAAGUUUUGUUUAGCAACUAGGGCAAAAGACAAAACUGAGUGGGCAUAAAGUAUGUCUGGAGACCUCAGUUCUUAUCUAGACCGUUUUUUAUGCUCAUCAUUGUAUCUCCAAUGUCUGGAAUAGUGCCUAGUGUAUGGUAAUCAGUCCGUAAAUAUUUACUGAAUGAAGGAUGGUAACCACGGAGGGAUUGUGAGUGGAGAUACCUCUGAUCUUUGACAAAUCUCCUAUCCAUGCUUGGUACCAACAUGAGCUAACUCCAUGGCUCAAACCAACAGGACAAUUUGCUAAGGUCUAGGAGCACCCCCUCCAGAGAAUCCCUGAUCUCCCAAAAUUUGGUCGAGAUCUAAAGUUCAUUUUGUUGUACAACUCCCUCUAUUAUUAUUAUUAUUAUUAUUAUUAUUAUUAUUAUUUUGGAGUUUUACUUGCUUCCAACAAGGAAGGCAAGUUUUCCUGCUUCCAUGACGAGGGAAGGCAGGUAACUCUUUUAUGGAGUUUGAGCUCACUUCCAACAGGGAAGAUGAGGGGUUUUUUUCCUACUUCUGGGAUGGUAGACAGCCGUUUUCAGCCUGAGACGCACCCCUAGGCCUCUGAGCCCAAGCCUGCACCUAUACAUCCAGAAGACCUGAGGAAGCUGAAGAACCACGAAAGAAGUGAAAAUGGCCAGUUCCUGCCUUAACUGAUGACAUUAACUUGUGAAAUUCCUUCUCCUGGACAAUGAGUCUCAAAAGCUCCCCCACUGAGCACCUUGUGACCCCCACCCCUGCCCGCAAGAGGACAACCCCCUUUGACUGUAAUUUUCCACUACCUACCCAAAUCCUAUAAAAUUGCCCCAACCCUAACUCCCUUUGCUAACUCUCUUUUCCGACUCACCCCGCCUGCACCCAGGUGAUUAAAAAGCUUUAUUGCUCACACAAAGCCUGUUUGGUGGUCUCUUCACACGGACGCACUUGACAUUUGGUGCCGAAGACCCAGGACAGGGAGACUCCUUCGGAAGACAGGUCCCCUGUCCUCACCAUCACUCCAUGAGGAGAUCCACCUAAGACCUCGGGUCCUCAGACCAGCUCAAGGAAUACCUUACCAACUUCAAAUCGGGACAGGAUUGUCAGGCCUCUGAGCCCAAGCCUGCACCUGUACAUCCAGAUGGACUGAGGAAACUGCAGAACCACAAAAGAAGUGAAAAUGGCCAGUUCCUGACUUAACUGAUGACAUUACCUUGUGAAAUUCCUUCUCCUGGACAAUGAGUCUCAGAAGUUCCCCACUGAGCACCUUGUGACCCCCACCCCUGCCCGCAAGAGAACAACCCCCUUUGAGUGUAAUUUUCCACUACCUACCCAACUCCUAUAAAACUGCCCCACCCCUAACUCCCUUUGCUGUCUCUUUUUCUGACUCAGCCCACCUGCACCCAGGUGAUUAAACAGUUUUUUUGCUCACACAAAGC
rnacentral:lncRNA from 1 species